rfam:Macrococcus caseolyticus JCSC5402 DNA, complete genome.
AGCUACAUACAACCGCACAACUUUAGGUUUAAGUGAGUAAUCCACCUAAAGAUGGCGUGACUUAUAAAUAAU